rnacentral:tRNA from 1 species
GGCGCCUUCGUCUAUCGGUUAGGACGCGGCCCUCUCAAGGCCGAAAGAUGGGUUCGAUUCCCAUAGGCGCUGCCA